rnacentral:rRNA from 1 species
UCAAGUGACUAAGUGUAUGUGGUGGAUGCCUUGGCGAUCAUAGGCGAUGAAGGACGUGUAAGCCUGCGAAAAGCUGCGGGGAGUCGGCAAAAAGACUUUGAUCCGCAGAUGUCCGAAUGAGGAAACUCACCGGGUAACCGGUAUCACAAACUGAAUACAUAGGUUUGUGAAGCGAACGCAGUGAACUGAAACAUCUAAGUAACUGCAGGAAAAGAAAUCAACCGAGAUUGCGGCAGUAGCGGCGAGCGAAACCGCAGCAGCCUAGUCUUUGAUAAUGCAUGGUGACAGCAGAACGGUCUGGAAAGGCCGGCCACAGUGGGUGACAGCCCCGUAUGCGAAGUCCGGUGCAUGGUACUAAAAAGACGAUAAGUAGGGCGGGACACGUGACAUCCUGUCCGAAGACGGGGGGACCAUCCUCCAAGGCUAAAUACUCAUGAUCGACCGAUAGCGAACCAGUACUGUGAAGGAAAGGCGAAAAGAACCCCGGGAGGGGAGUGAAAGAGAACCUGAAACCGCAUACAUACAAACAGUAGGAGCCCUACGGGGUGACUGCGUACCUUUUGCAUAAUGGGUCAGCGACUUACGUUUUGCGGCAAGCUUAACCGAGUAGGGGAGGCGCAGCGAAAGCGAGUUCGAACAGAGCGAUAGAGUCGUAAGGCGUAGACCCGAAACCAGAUGAGCUAACCAUGGCCAGGUUGAAGGUGUGGUAACACACACUGGAGGACCGAACCGACCGGUGUUGCAAAACCGGCGGAUGAGCUGUGGUUAGGGGUGAAAGGCUUAACAAAUCUGGAGAUAGCUGGUUCUCCCCGAAAACUAUUGAGGUAGUGCCUCGUGAAUGACUCCGGGGGGUAGAGCACUGUUAUGGCUAGGGGGACAUGGCGUCUUACCAAACCAUGGCAAACUCCGAAUACCCGGAAGUUGAAUCACGGGAGACAGAGCACCGGGUGCUAACGUCCGGACUCAAAAGGGAAACAACCCAGACCGCCGUUUAAGGUCCCAAAUACAGGCUAAGUGGAAAACGAAGUGUGAAGGCUAAGACAGUCAGGAAGUUGGCUUAGAAGCAGCCAUCCUUCAAAGAAAGCGUAAUAGCUCACUGAUCGAGUCCUCAUGCGCGGAAGAUGUAACGGGGCUAAGUCUGUAACCGAAAGCGCGGAUUUGCACGCAAGUGCAAGUGGUAGGGGAGCGUUCUGUAAGCCUGCGAAGGUGUGUGGUAACGCAUGCCGGAGGUAUCAGAAGUGCGAAUGCUGACAUGAGUAACGAUAAAGCGGGUGAAAAGCCCGCUCGCCGUAAGCCCAAGGUUUCCUGCUCUACGUUCAUCGGAGCAGGGUGAGUCGGCCCCUAAGGCCAGGCUGAGAAGCGUAGCUGAUGGGAAGCAGAUUAAGAUUUCUGCACCGACGUUAAGUGCGAAGGGGGGACGGAGUUUUGAGCAUCAUCCGGGUGUUGGAUGUCCCGGUUUGUGCGUGUAGGAGGCCGGCAGGCAAAUCCGCCGGCGAAUCUCCGAGACAAAGCAUCGAGCUGCAUUUUGCAGUGAAGUGAUGGGAUGAACUUCCAGGAAAAGCCUCUAAGCUAUAGCUUAAUGUCGACCGUACCGUAAACCGACACAGGUGGGCGAGUUGAAUAUACUCAGGCGCUUGAGAGAACUCGGGAGAAGGAACUCGGCAAAUUGACACCGUAACUUCGGGAUAAGGUGUGCCUUUGUAGUGUGAAGAGUGAAACACUCCGAGCAUGAAGAGGUCACAGAGAAUAGGUGGCUGCAACUGUUUACUAAAAACACAGCACUCUGCAAAGACGAAAGUCGACGUAUAGGGUGUGAUGCCUGCCCGGUGCCGGAAGAUUAAGUGAUGGGGUGAGAGCUCCUGAUCGAAGUCCCGGUAAACGGCGGCCGUAACUAUAACGGUCCUAAGGUAGCGAAAUUCCUUGUC